rnacentral:rRNA from 1 species
AUUGAACGCUGGCGGCAUGCCUUACACAUGCAAGUCGAACGGCAGCACGGGUGCUUGCACCUGGUGGCGAGUGGCGAACGGGUGAGUAAUACAUCGGAACAUGUCCUGUAGUGGGGGAUAGCCCGGCGAAAGCCGGAUUAAUACCGCAUACGAUCUACGGAUGAAAGCGGGGGACCUUCGGGCCUCGCGCUAUAGGGUUGGCCGAUGGCUGAUUAGCUAGUUGGUGGGGUAAAGGCCUACCAAGGCGACGAUCAGUAGCUGGUCUGAGAGGACGACCAGCCACACUGGGACUGAGACACGGCCCAGACUCCUACGGGAGGCAGCAGUGGGGAAUUUUGGACAAUGGGCGAAAGCCUGAUCCAGCAAUGCCGCGUGUGUGAAGAAGGCCUUCGGGUUGUAAAGCACUUUUGUCCGGAAAGAAAUCCUUGGCUCUAAUACAGUCGGGGAUGACGGUACCGGAAGAAUAAGCACCGGCUAACUACGUG